rnacentral:rRNA from 1 species
GACGAACGCUGGCGGCGUGCUUAACACAUGCAAGUCGAACGAUGAAGAAAAGAAUUGAAGCUUCGGCAGAAAUUCAUUUCGGAUUAGUGGCAGACGGGUGAGUAACGCGUGAGCAACCUACCUCUUACAAAGGGAUAGCCUCGGGAAACCGGGAUUAAUACCAUAUAACAUUGCGACGAAGCAUUUCGAUGCAAUCAAAGCUACGGCGGUAAGAGUUGGGCUCGCGUCCCAUUAACCAGAUGGUGAGGUAACGGCUCACCAUAGUAACGAUGGGUAACCGGCCUGAGAGGGUGAACGGUCACACUGGAACUGAGACACGGUCCAGACUCCGACGGGAGGCAGCAGUGGGGAAUAUUGCACAAUGGAGGGAACUCUGAUGCAGCGACGCCGCGUGAGUGAUGAAGGAAUUCGUUUCGUAAAACUCUGUUCUAUGGGAAGAAAAGGACUGUACCAUAGGAGAAAGCUCCGGCUAAAUACGUG